ACCCAAUGACGUCUCUAGAAGACAUCUGAAGGAGAUUAAAGAUUUAUCGGUGAUGGAUGGGGAUGCGUCUGAUUAGCUUGUUGGCGGGGUAACGGCCACCAAGGCGACGAUCAGUAGGGGUUCUGAGAGGAAGGUCCCCCACAUUGGAACUGAGACACGGUCCAAACUCCUACGGGAGGCAGCAGUGAGGAAUAUUGGUCAAUGGGCGCGAGCCUGAACCAGCCAAGUAGCGUGGAGGACGACGGCCCUACGGGUUGUAAACUCCUUUUAUAAGGGGAUAAAGUUGGCCAUGUAUGGCCAUUUGCAGGUACCUUAUGAAUAAGCAUCGGCUAAUUCCGUG
rnacentral:rRNA from 1 species